rnacentral:tRNA from 1 species
GCCGUGAUGGUGGAAUGGUAGACACGAGGGACUUAAAAUCCCUUGACCAGUAAUGGUUGUGCGGGUUCGAGUCCCGCUCGCGGCA